rnacentral:lncRNA from 1 species
GUGACAGACUGGUCCAGAACACCAUCCUGGAAGCAGUCCUGCCUGUCAGCUGAGCCACUGCAGUAUCUGUAAUUUUUAUGUAUUAGGGAUCUGGCACCUUUCUCUGGCAUCUUAUGCCAUACAAAAUUAGCCCAGCAUAUGGGUACUGUAAAUUGGAGGACAUAGGUUUGAGUAAUGAACAAACAGUGACUAUGCUAAUUGGCUUCAUGGACAUGGAGUUCAGUGUCUUCAGAACAGAAUCACCUCAGCUGUUUUACAAUCAAAAAUAAUAAAAAUGAGAGUCCCUGAUUUGGUGAUUUUUGUUUUUUCUUUUUGUUUUGGCAGUGGCAAAUAUUUCCAGCCUCCUACUUAUUGUGAUUAGAGUUUGUGUGCAGCCCAACUCUCUGCAUAUUGUAAUGAAUGGGUCUUACAAACAGCUGUGCAUGCAAGGAAUCACCAAGGACUGCAGUAUACUUGCAACAUUAUAAUUCUGGAACUGCUGAAUCAAGUUUUUCCCUCUAUAUGCCAAGGCAACAGAUUUUACUUUCUUUGGCACAGGAAAAAUCAAAGGAAAAUGUUGUUCAGAAAUUUUUUAGUAAAAAAUCUCUGACCAUCACUGACAUCAUAGAUAGGGGUGGGCCAACAUUAAAUGAAAAAACCCAAUCCAGACGUGCACACAUUUAAGCUCACAGAUGAUUCUAAGCAGUGUAGCACAGCUCUAUUGCAUGUUGCUGUGUCUUUUUAAUGUCAGCCUGAAAACAUUCCAGGCAAAUCUGUUCAGAAAAAGAGCACAGUAUGUACGAAUCUCACUAAUCUAAACAAGAUGGGAUGCUACUUACAGGUAUGCAGUUUACAAGGCAUGGAACAUAUGUUGAGUGAGGAAAACAAAAGAAAUCGUGAUCAUGUAGCAGUCGACCGUCUGAAUAAGCAAGGAUGCUGUGGACAAAUGUCUUUCAUCAACUAAAUGAUCACCUGCAUUUUCAAAAGGCUUUAUUGAUGUAUUGGACGACUUUUUUGCCUCUAAUGCCAUUGCUUCAUAUUCAACUGAAGUAGUAUUCAAUAUAGUUCACACAGACAACAAGCAAAAGUCUUAAU